rnacentral:lncRNA from 1 species
UAAGGAAUGUGGUUUUUAUUGUAUGAAGUUCAUGAGAGAGUUAAUGGGUGAUUCAUCCCAAUCCAUGGAAAUGAGGGUAUGUCUUGUUUUAGAUAACUAAUAUAUAUAUUCAUGCAUGUAUUUAUGUAUACUGUUUCAAUAUUCUCAGGUAAAGAAUCUGGUUGCUAAGAAGAAUUUCUCAAAGAAUGAUAUUGACGAGCUUUGGGUCAAAUUUAUUGAAUUUGUCCAAUAUUGUAUGGGGGAAUAUGCUGAAGAAUGAAUGUAGUGUUAGGCUUUAUAUAUAGUUUUUUUUUGUUUUUUUUUUUUUUUUUUUUUCUGGUUAAAGUGGAUAUAUCAUCGUAUAUUAUUGAUGAUGGAUUUUUAUUUUGUUUGGAUUUUUUU